GAUGAACGCUGGCGGGAUGCCUAAUACAUGCAAGCCGAGCGGAAUUGUUUCGUCUUAGAUGAGAGAUCGGCGGACGGGUGCGGAACACAUGCGCGAGCUGCCUGUAUCUGGCGGAUAGCCUUUCGAAAGGAACAUUAGUACUCCCUAAUAUAUUGACCGCGGUCGUUUAAUAUUGAAAGCUCAGGCGGAUAGAGAUGGGCCCGCCCCAUAUUAUCUAGUUGGGGAGGUAACGUCUCACCAUAGCGAUGAUCUUUAGGGGGCCUGAGAGGGUGAUCCCCCACGCUGGUACUGAAACAAGGACCAGACUCCUACGGUAGGCAACACUGAGGAGUAUUGGUCUGUGGGUGCCAGCCAGAACCAACCAUCCCGCGUGAAGGACGACUGCCCUAUGGGUUGUAAACUUCUUUUGUAUAGGGAUAAACCUACCCUCGUGAGGGUAGUCUGUAAGGUAAAUAUAGCGAAUGAAGCACCUGGCUAACUCCGUGCCAGCAGCCGCGGUAAUACGGAGGGUGCAAGCAUUUAUCCGGAUUUAUUGGGUUUAAAGGGUCCGUACGCGGACUUAUAAGUCAGAGGUGAAAGCCUGUCGCUUAGCGAUAGAACUGCCCUUGAUACUGUAAGUCUUGAGUAUAUUUGAGGUAGCUGGAAUACCUAGUGUAGCGGUGAAAUGCAUAGAUAUUACUUAGAACACCAAUUGCGAAGGCAGGUUACCGGGAUAUAACUGACGCUGAUGGACGAAAGCGUGGGGAGCGAACAGGAUUAGAUACCCCGGUAGUCCACGCCGUAAACGAUGCUAACUCGUUUUUGGGCUUUACGGUUCACAGACCGAGCGAAAGUGAUAAGUUAGCCACCUGGGGAGUACGCUCGCAAGAGUGAAACUCACAGGAAUUGACGGGGGCCCGCACACGCGGUGGAUUAUGUGGGUUAAUUCUAUGAUACGCGAGGAACCUUACCAAGACUUAAGUGGGAAUUGACAGCUUUAGAAAUAGAGCUUUCUUCGGACAAUUUUCAAGGUGCUGCAUGGUUGUCGUCAGCUCGUGCCGCGAGGUGUUAGGUUAAGUCCUGCAACGAGCGCAACCCCUGUCACUAGUUGCCAUCAUUCACUUGGGGACUCUAGUGAGACUGCCUACGCAACUAGAGAGGAAAGUGGGGAUGACGUCAAAUCAUCACGGCCCUUACGUCUUGGGCCACACACGUAAUACAAUGGCCGGUACAGAGGGCAGCUACACAGCGAUGUGAUGCAAAUCUCGAAAGCCGGUCUCAGUUCGGAUUGGAGUCUGCGACUCGACUCUAUGAAGCUGGAAUCGCUAGUAAUCGCGCAUCAUCCAUGGCGCGGUGAAUACGUUCCCGGGCCU
rnacentral:rRNA from 1 species